GACGUAGGUGGCGAACGUUAUCCGGAAUUAUUGGGCGUAAAGGGUGCGUAGGCUGCGCGGAAAGUUGGGUGUGAAAUCCCUCGGCUCAACCGAGGAACUGCGCCCAAAACUACCGUGCUCGAGGGAGACAGAGGUGAGCGGAACUUAGGGUGGAGCGGUGAAAUGCGUUGAUAUCCUAAGGAACACCCGUGGCGAAAGCGGCUCACUGGGUCUCUUCUGACGCUGAGGCACGAAAGCUAGGGUAGCGAACGGGG
rnacentral:rRNA from 1 species